rnacentral:rRNA from 1 species
AGAGUUUGAUCAUGGCUCAGAUUGAACGCUGGCGGCAUGCCUUACACAUGCAAGUCGAACGGCAGCACGGGAGCUUGCUCCUGGUGGCGAGUGGCGAACGGGUGAGUAAUAUAUCGGAACGUGCCCUAGAGUGGGGGAUAACUAGUCGAAAGAUUAGCUAAUACCGCAUACGAUCUACGGAUGAAAGUGGGGGAUCGCAAGACCUCAUGCUCCUGGAGCGGCCGAUAUCUGAUUAGCUAGUUGGUGGGGUAAAGGCCUACCAAGGCUACGAUCAGUAGCUGGUCUGAGAGGACGACCAGCCACACUGGAACUGAGACACGGUCCAGACUCCUACGGGAGGCAGCAGUGGGGAAUUUUGGACAAUGGGCGCAAGCCUGAUCCAGCAAUGCCGCGUGAGUGAAGAAGGCCUUCGGGUUGUAAAGCUCUUUUGUCAGGGAAGAAACGGUGAGAGCUAAUAUCUCUUGCUAAUGACGGUACCUGAAGAAUAAGCACCGGCUAACUACGUGCCAGCAGCCGCGGUAAUACGUAGGGUGCAAGCGUUAAUCGGAAUUACUGGGCGUAAAGCGUGCGCAGGCGGUUGUGCAAGACAGAUGUGAAAUCCCCGGGCUCAACCUGGGAAUUGCAUUUGUGACUGCACGGCUAGAGUGUGUCAGAGGGGGGUAGAAUUCCACGUGUAGCAGUGAAAUGCGUAGAUAUGUGGAGGAAUACCGAUGGCGAAGGCAGCCCCCUGGGAUAACACUGACGCUCAUGCACGAAAGCGUGGGGAGCAAACAGGAUUAGAUACCCUGGUAGUCCACGCCCUAAACGAUGUCAACUAGUUGUCGGGUCUUAAUUGACUUGGUAACGCAGCUAACGCGUGAAGUUGACCGCCUGGGGAGUACGGUCGCAAGAUUAAAACUCAAAUGAAUUGACGG